rnacentral:rRNA from 1 species
UGGGCCUACGGGAGGCAGCAGUAGGGAAUCUUCCACAAUGGACGAAAGUCUGAUGGAGCAACGCCGCGUGAGUGAAGAAGGGUUUCGGCUCGUAAAGCUCUGUUAGUAGUGAAGAAAGAUAGAGGUAGUAACUGGCCUUUAUUUGACGGUAAUUACUUAGAAAGUCACGGCUAACUACGUGCCAGCAGCCGCGGUAAUACGUAGGUGACAAGCGUUGUCCGGAUUUAUUGGGCGUAAAGCGAGUGCAGGCGGUUCAAUAAGUCU